rnacentral:rRNA from 1 species
UACGUAGGGUGCAAGCGUUGUCCGGAAUUAUUGGGCGUAAAGAGCUUGUAGGCGGUUUGUCGCGUCUGCUGUGAAAUUUCGGGGCUCAACCCUGGGCUUGCAGUGGAUACGGGCAGACUAGAGGCAGGUAGGGGAGAAUGGAAUUCCCGGUGUAGCGGUGAAAUGCGCAGAUAUCGGGAGGAACACCGGUGGCGAAGGCGGUUCUCUGGGCCUUACCUGACGCUGAGGAGCGAAAGCGUGGGGAGCGAACAGG